GACGAACGCUGGCGGCGUGCUUAACACAUGCAAGUCGAACGGAAAGGCCCUGCUUUUGUGGGGUGCUCGAGUGGCGAACGGGUGAGUAACACGUGAGUAACCUGCCCUUGACUUUGGGAUAACUUCAGGAAACUGGGGCUAAUACCGGAUAGGAGCUCCUGCUGCAUGGUGGGGGUUGGAAAGUUUCGGCGGUUGGGGAUGGACUCGCGGCUUAUCAGCUUGUUGGUGGGGUAGUGGCUUACCAAGGCUUUGACGGGUAGCCGGCCUGAGAGGGUGACCGGCCACAUUGGGACUGAGAUACGGCCCAGAAUGCAACGGGAGGCAGCAGUGGGGAAUAUUGCAGAAUGGGCGGAAGCCUGAUGCAGCAACGCCGCGUGCGGGAUGACGGCCUUCGGGUUGUAAACCGCUUUCGCCUGUGACGAAGCGUGAGUGACGGUAAUGGGUAAAGAAGCACCGGCUAACUACGUG
rnacentral:rRNA from 1 species